UAUAUUUGGCGUCUGAAUUGCGAUAAACGUAAUCAAACGCAUAAAAAUUAUUUAAAUAAUAUUGGAAUG
rnacentral:ncRNA from 1 species